CGGGGUGAGUAACGCGUGGAUAACCUGCCUCACACUGGGGGAUAACAGUUAGAAAUGGCUGCUAAUACCGCAUAAGCGCACAGUACCGCAUGGUACGGUGUGAAAAACCCAGGUGGUGUGAGAUGGAUCCGCGUCUGAUUAGCCAGUUGGCGGGGCAACGGCCCACCAAAGCGACGAUCAGUAGCCGACCUGAGAGGGUGACCGGCCACAUUGGGACUGAGACACGGCCCAA
rnacentral:rRNA from 1 species